rnacentral:lncRNA from 1 species
CUUGUGGGUCGCUUCAGAUGUUUGCAACCUUAUCCCAAUGCUGUGUGAAGAAAGGAGGUCAUUGAAGGAGGCCCUGGCUUAGGCAUGUCCUCUGGUCCUCGAGGCCACACGGGUUAAUCGAAGAAAGAGCGCACUGGCUUUGCGCUGGGAAGCAGGGAUCUAUGCCAACCAGGAGGAAGAAGACAACGAAUAAACUUCCUUCAACCCAGGAAGCGUCUUUGGUGCUUGGGAGACCAAGAAACCAAGAAAUUAACAACUGAAAGCAUUUUAAUGGACUAUUUAUUAAAGUGCAAACAAACUCAGCAAUCCUUAUGUAGACCAGAAGCUGCAAUAUACAAUGAUGAAAAUGAAACGAAAAGGAAGUCCCCCCAUCAGACUCUGGACACCCAGGAAUCAAAAGAGAAAGGACUUUUUUGGUGACUCAAUCCCAGUGUCUGGUUUGGGGCCAAUCUACAAUGGAUCCAAAAGGACAAAACAUGUUACAAGCAAAUCAACAUAGUUGCUGCA